AGGCCCAUGAUGUUUAAGCCCAAAACGGAGUCAAACAAAAAACAACAUUGCUGGCAGAAUUCAUUCACGUUCAAACAACAAUAACAUGGUCACAUCACUUUCAGGUUUCAGAAUUGUUCUUCUUUUAGCAAAUGAGAUUAAUCUUCACAUCUCAAAAACAACACCUAUCACUAUUAUGUGAAACAUCCUUCUCUUUUCACAGCUUUGAAACAAAACACAAAUCAAUUCCCCCAUCUUCCAAAAUUCAAAUUGUGAAUCUCAAACCUCCCCCUAUUUCUCUUUUUUUUCGACCUCUUCUCCCUCUGCUAUUCCUUGAAUUGAUUCUCUUCUGCAUAAAUGAAUGAACCACAACGACUUCGUCCGAACCGCCAUGGACAAGGACACAGCGUUGGAACCGGUUCAAGAGGUAUUGUUUNNNNNNNNNNNNNNNNNNNNNNNNNNNNNNNNNGAGUUUGUUUUGACUUUGAGUAUGGUUUUAUGAAGUUACAUAUUUCUUUUAGCUUUGUUAAGCUUUGGUAUAUUAAUUAUUGUGCAGUUAUUGGCUUUCUCUGUUUUUUUUUUUUUUGGUAAAUAAGUUUUGAUUGUUGGAUAACCCCAGUUCCUAAUUUUUCUCAAUUGAUAACAACCUCUUUUUAAUUUGAUUUCAAAUUAGCAACUACUAAUAUAAAAUAUCCUAUCAAUUAGUUGUUACCUAUUUUACUUAUGUGACACCCACUUUAAUUAGUUGUUUCUAUUUUUCAUAGUUGCUAAUUUAUUGAUUUCAAUAUCUUUUAUUUGUAUUUAUGGUUAUUAUUUUGAUUUAUGAGAUUAUUUUCUUUCUUUCUUUUUCUGCUUCACAAAUUCCAGAUUGAUGAGAAAGUGGCAAGAGAGAUUAUAAACCACAAGUCCCUUUGUCACUGUUAACUACAUUGUUAAGGAGGUAAGGACUUCUUUGGUUAUCUGUUGGAUCAGUUUGUAUAAAAUACACUGUUAAUUAAUUGUGCAUGCUAAUUUGUUACUUCAAUGGGUUUUUUAUUGUUCAGAUUGUUUUGAUUGUAAUGGAUUAUGCAGUUGGGGGAAACACAAACUAAUUAGCAUAUUUAUUUCCUAUAUUUGGUUUUAUUUGUUUGCUAAUACUACAUUUAGGUUCAUACAGAGUCUUUGAAAGUUGGAUGGUGUGAUAGAGCUGCUGAUGUUGGAUUUCGAGUGAUGAGUUUCAAUGCCCCUUUUUUGGUAAUGAUAAUUUGAAAUCAUGUUUCUUGAUCAAUCUGUGGUUUCAAAUUUGGAUUGUAACGAAUUGUGUGCUGAGAUAUUGGCUAAAUUUGUUGAAAUACUACCUUUUAUAAUUGUGUAAAUGAGUCAUUUGAUUAGUUAUUUUAAUAUUGAUAUUUGCACUUCAAAGUUGAUAGCUAAUACGAAUACUACCUUUAUUGUUAAUGAGCUGCUCAUUGUUGUUAUAGUGUGUACC
rnacentral:lncRNA from 1 species